rnacentral:snoRNA from 1 species
CUGCAGUUAAUUAAACCUACUCGAUGCCUUUCCUCAUGGGAGACUGGUGUGCAAUGGUGCAUACAGUAACUUCUGUGUUGGUGUACCUAGCCUGCGGCUUGUGUGGACUGCUCCAAGGCGGGGGUCCCCAACC